GCUGUCGUCCACGCCGCGGUAGAAAAGCGGAUGGGCAUAUGCGUCAGGGAUGUUCAGGAUCUGGCCCGUGGUCGCCACGUGUCCCGCGAUGCCCUGAUCGGCCGGGAUGCGGAUCUCAUAGCUCUGCCGGAGCAGAGAUGGAGUCGAGAGGAAGAAGUUAGUGACCCGGCCACAGAGGGGACUGUUAAACCUCGGGCCGCUCCCCAGCGCCGCCGGCGGACUCCCGGACACCCCUAGGGCCACAUACUCCCUCCACACCCUCUCACCUCAUCAUCCACCACGCCCCCGUCGAACACCUUGGCCACCAGCUCAUUCUGAUCCAGCAGGAACACAGAGCAGCUGUGGAGGGAGGGGUUUGGUCCUCUGGGGCCUGACAACCCCCUCUGAUCGCCCUCACGUCCCAUAAGGAGGCAAAGGCCGGAUUUCCGAGGCCUGGGAGGAGUGCUCCAAGGCACACCUCCAGCCUUGGGG
rnacentral:lncRNA from 1 species